rnacentral:lncRNA from 1 species
AAGGCCUACGCCAAGCUUUCAGCGACGAAACUGCGGGCUGUUCGCGAUGGACUUGUAUGCAUGCUGACAAGAUGGAAUGAGCUGCUCCGUACUUAACACCAAGCGGAUCUGGA